rnacentral:rRNA from 1 species
GGAAUUGUUCGCAAUGGGCGCAAGCCUGACGACGCAACGCCGCGUGGGGGAUGAAGGUCUUCGGAUUGUAAACCCCUGUUGGGUGGGACGAACAUUCCGGUGGUGAACAGCCACGGGAACUGACGGUACCACCUGAGGAAGCCCCGGCUAACUCUGUGCCAGCAGCCGCGGUAAUACAGAGGGGGCAAGCGUUGUUCGGAAUUACUGGGCGUAAAGGGCGCGUAGGCGGCCUGUUAAGUCGGACGUGAAAUCCCUCGGCUCAACCGGGGAACUGCGUCCGAUACUGGCGGGCUUGAAUUCGGGAGAGGGAUGUGGAAUUCCAGGUGUAGCGGUGAAAUGCGUAGAUAUCUGGAGGAACACCGGUGGCGAAGGCGGCAUCCUGGACCGACAUUGACGCUGAGGCGCGAAAGCCAGGGGAGCAAA